rnacentral:rRNA from 1 species
AUGGGCACAGACAAAGUCUCUGACUAUGGAGAUCUUCGAAUGAACAAGAGAAUCAUGUUUGAUCCUGGGGGUUGCUUAUCAAACUCUGAAACUGAAGAGGAGUCUAUUUUAAAGGAAACGAAGCCAAGGGGAAGAUUUUGGGCACUUGAGCAAAUUGAGGAUGAAGAGGUUAACUCUGCAAUUGAAGACACAGAACAUCGAAAUCCUUACCUAGCCACUCUGGCAAAUGCUUUUGCCUGUGCCAAACAAGUGAAGAAGAUUGACAAGAGAAAGGGGAAGAUACUGAAAUGCAAUGGACAGACUGAUAAAAAAUGUUGCAACAGGGACAGAGCGCUUGAAGAUAAAAACAGGCAAGUAAACUUCCCUUCGUGUAGUGGGAAUAAUAGGAGACCAUCUGCAAGAUGUGGUUUGAUCCAGGAUGAUCAACGGUAUCAAAUUUUCAGAGGAAGGAGAGUGGAUUUAGGCAAUGGAGCUGAACCCAAUUGGAUGCAUUGGAGGUGUGUAGAGAGAUUUGGGAAUUCAUUAGCACACAAACCGAUAGAUGCCCCUCUCUCAGUAUGA